UCUCUCCAUCUUCCCUCUUCUUUCUCUCUCUUCCUUCUCUUCUCAUAAGUCUUGCUCAGUUGAAGAACGAAUUAUCCCACCAAUUGUAGGAUCUUAAUGCAUCAACCUACAGGAUCCCAGCACAGUAACCCUCCUUCCCAAUGCUUGCAUCCUCCCUACACCAUCAUCUAUCAUUCACGGAUCCAUUUUUUGCACCUAUAUUCUCAUUAUCC
rnacentral:lncRNA from 1 species